rnacentral:misc_RNA from 1 species
UUUGGUAGUGUUAUCGACUCGACUCAGGUGAGGCCUGAAAGGUCUCGUCCAUCGAGGUCGUCUAGCCGUGGUCCUCGCUCUAGUACCCAAGGAAACGCCGAGCUGAUCCGGAUGCAGGAAGCUUUGAGGCGGCAGGAGGAGUAUAACAAGCAACAACAAGAGUACUGGGCUGCUCAAUUUGCACGACAGCAGGAGAUGAUGCAGCAAAUAGCACUAGGGCAACGUCCAGAUUUUUCAGCGAUGACUAUGCCACCUCCUCCACCUAUCCCGCAGUUUGUACCGACUCCACAAUUUAGUUGGCCCACACCUGCACCUCAGGUUAUAUUACUUGACUUUUUCUUUUGACGUUGCAUAACAAGA